AACGAACGCUGGCGGCAGGCCUAACACAUGCAAGUCGAGCGGACUACCACCUUCGGGUGACUAGUUAGCGGCGGACGGGUGAGGAACACGUGGGAACAUACCUUUCGGUACGGAAUAGCCUCGGGAAACUGGGAGUAAUACCGUAUACGUCCUUAGGGAGAAAGAUUUAUCGCCGAGAGAUUGGCCCGCGUUGGAUUAGCUAGUUGGUGGGGUAAGAGCCUACCAAGGCAACGAUCUAUAGCUGGUUUGAGAGGAUGAUCAGCCACACUGGGACUGAGACACGGCCCAGACUCCUACGGGAGGCAGCAGUGAGGAAUAUUGGACAAUGGGGGCAACCCUGAUCCAGCCAUGCCGCGUGAGUGAAGAAGGCCCUAGGGUUGUAAAGCUCUUUCAGAUGUGAAGAUGAUGACCGUAGCAUCAAAAGAAGCCCCGGCUAACUUCG
rnacentral:rRNA from 1 species